rnacentral:rRNA from 1 species
UACGUAGGGUGCAAGCGUUGUCCGGAAUUAUUGGGCGUAAAGAGCUCGUAGGCGGUCUGUCGCGUCGGCUGUGAAAACCCGAGGCUCAACCUCGGGCCUGCAGUCGAUACGGGCAAACUAGAGUACUGCAGGGGAGACUGGAAUUCCUGGUGUAGCGGUGAAAUGCGUAGAUAUCGAGAGGAACACCUGCGGCGAAGGCGGGUUGCUGGGCUGAUACUGACGCUGAGGCGCGAAAGCCAGGGGAGCGAACGGG